rnacentral:rRNA from 1 species
CACUCCUGCGGGAGGCAGCAGUGGGGAAUAUUGCACAAUGGGCGCAAGCCUGAUGCAGCCAUGCCGCGUGUAUGAAGAAGGCCUUCGGGUUGUAAAGUACUUUCAGCGGGGAGGAAGGCAAUACGGUUAAUAACCGUGUUGAUUGACGUUACCCGCAGAAGAAGCACCGGCUAACUCCGUGCCAGCAGCCGCGGUAAUACGGAGGGUGCAAGCGUUAAUCGGAAUUACUGGGCGUAAAGCGCACGCAGGCGGUCUGUCAAGUCGGAUGUGAAAUCCCCGGGCUCAACCUGGGAACUGCAUUCGAAACUGGCAGGCUUGAGUCUUGUAGAGGGGGGUAGAAUUCCAGGUGUAGCGGUGAAAUGCGUAGAGAUCUGGAGGAAUACCGGUGGCGAAGGCGGCCCCCUGGACAAAGACUGACGCUCAGGUGCGAAAGCGUGGGGAGCAAACAGGAUUAGAAACCCCGGUAGUCCCA